rnacentral:rRNA from 1 species
UACGAAGGGGGCUAGCGUUGCUCGGAAUCACUGGGCGUAAAGCGCACGUAGGCGGCUUUUUAAGUCAGAGGUGAAAUCCUGGAGCUCAACUCCAGAACUGCCUUUGAUACUGGAGAGCUUGAGUCCGGGAGAGGUGAGUGGAACUGCGAGUGUAGAGGUGAAAUUCGUAGAUAUUCGCAAGAACACCAGUAGCGAAGGCGGCACUCUGGGCCGGUACUGACGCUGAGGAGCGAAAGCGUGGGGAGCAAACAGG